rnacentral:rRNA from 1 species
GACAGAGGAUGCAAGCGUGAUCCGGAAUGAUUGGGCGGAAAGCGUCUGUAGGUGGCUAUUCAAGUCCGGCGUCAAAUCCCAGGGCUCAACCCUGGACAGGCGGUGGAAACUACCAAGCUGGAGUACGGUAGGGAUAGAGGGAAUUUCCGGUGGAGCGGUGAAAUGCAUUGAGAUCGGAAAGAACACCAACGGCGAAAGCACUCUGCUGGGCCGACACUGACACUGAGAGACGAAAGCUAGGGGAGCGAAUGGG